UUCCUCAUAUGGGCCUAGUUUUAAUUAGCUUAUUUGUUAACUAGUGAAGAUCCGGUUUAAUCCACAGGUUCCCGGUAGCAUGGCUUUAUCAGUUGAGCCUAAGUUAGCAUUUUUUUGGAUGGUUAAGCGAA